AUGCAUCAUGUUAAUGAUGUCAGUUUUCUUGGCAAUCCAGGUGCUAUGUACACAUUUAAGCUACUCCUAAAUCCCUCGCCAAAUAUGGGAAAACCGUCACAUUUCUUUUUAAUAACCGACCUACACAGAGAUGCAACUGUUUUAACUUCUCUUAAUCUUCAGUUUUGUUUAAGUAGUAUUUGCAUCAAUAGACAUAUCAUUAAUUUAUACAGCACGCGCGCGAUUUGUGCUCUAUCAGUAGCCACGCCACAGCCGUUAGAUUGUGCAUCGCUUCACCACGUGUGUGUGGGUGAGCACCGACAAUUCAGUUGUUCAUUGCUUGCUGCUUUUCAGUUGUUCAUUGCUUCCUGCUUUGCUGGUUGCUCACUGCUUUGUACUAGCUGCUUUGCUAGUUGCUCAUUGCCUUUCUUAUAG
rnacentral:rRNA from 1 species